GAUGAACGCUAGCUACAGGCUUAACACAUGCAAGUCGCAGGACUGGCGCACGGGUGAGUCACGCGUAUCCAACCCUCCCAUGCCCACGGGAUAACCCGUUGAAAGACGUACUAAUACCGUAUGGUGAUGGAUGGGGAUGCGUCAGAUUAGCUUGUUGGCGGGGUAACGGCCCACCAAGGCGACCAUCAGUAGGGGUUCUGAGAGGAGUGACAAUGACAUUGGAACUGAGAAAAGGUCCAAACUCAUACGGUAGGCAAAAGUGGGGAACAUUGGUGAAUGGGAUAGAGCCUGAGCCAGCAAAGUAGCGCGCAGGACGUGGGCCGAUGGGUUGUAAACAGCUUUUAUGCGGGGAUAGGCGCCGGAUGAAUGAUGACAGGCUAAUUCCGUGCCAGCAGCCGGGGUAAUAC
rnacentral:rRNA from 1 species